rnacentral:misc_RNA from 1 species
GAUGAAGAACGCAGCGAAAUGCGAUAAGUAAUGUGAAUUGCAGAAUUCAGUGAAUCAUCGAAUCUUUGAACGCACAUUGCGCCCGCCAGUAUUCUGGCGGGCAUGCCUGUUCGAGCGUCAUUUCAACCAUCAAGCCCCCGGCUUGUGUUGGGGACCUGCGGCUGCCGCAGGCCCUGAAAACCAGUGGCGGGCUCGCUAGUCACUCCGAGCGUAGUAGUUACAUCUUGCUCAGGGCGUGCUGCGGGUUCCGGCCGUUAAAAGCCUUAUUUACCCAAGGUUGACCUCGGAUCAGGUAGGAAGACCCGCUGAACUUAAGCAUAUCAAUAAGCGGAGGA